UACGUAGGGGCUAGCGUUGUCCGGAAUCAUUGGGCGUAAAGAGCGUGUAGGCGGCCGGUAAGUCCGCUGUGAAAGUCGGGGCUCAACCCUCGAAUGCCGGUGGAUACUGUCGGGCUAGAGUGCGGAAGAGGCGAGUGGAAUUCCUGGUGUGAGCGGUGGAAAUGACGCAGAUAUCAGGAGGAACACCGAUUGCGAAGGCAGC
rnacentral:rRNA from 1 species